rnacentral:lncRNA from 10 species
AGGGCACAGGAGAUGCUGGCUGUCUGCCUUGGGGCAGAAAUGGAAACCUAGUUCUUGAUGGCACCUUGUUGCCAGUGUCUGUGCAGCUGUGUUCUGGCCUGCAGGGUGGAGGAGACCUUAGAGGAAACCGAGGCCGAGGGCAGGUGCUGGGCCCCAUUUCUGCACCUUCUACCCAGCCCUGACCUGGCACCCUUUGUUUCUGUUCUGCAGUCAACUGCCAGGAUGCAAGAUGGUCCUGCCCCCUUGGGGUUUAGAGCUGGAAAGUGGGAGAGCGGAGAAUCCUCUGGGGAGAAUCCUCUUCAUGGCUGCAGGAAACAGAGACUAGUCCAGAAGGGACCUUGAGGGGUCAUCUGGCACUAGUGCCCCUCCAGGAAGGAAGGCCCUGGUGGCCACACUGACUUCACUCUUACUAUGUGCAGGCACUGUUCCAGGCUGGCCUGCCACUCCUCCUGCUAUGAUGCCUGGGCAGAUCCCGGACCCUUCGGUGACCACAGGCUCCCUGCCAGGGCUUGGCCCCCUGACCGGGCUCCCCAGCUCGGCCCUGACUGUGGAGGAGCUGAAAUACGCUGACAUCCGCAACCUCGGGGCCAUGAUUGCACCCUUGCACUUCCUGGAGGUGAAACUGGGCAAGAGGCCCCAGCCCGUGAAAAGUGAGGUCCACCGGCAACAUGGACUCAGAGUUGGGAAACUGAGUCCUCUCCUGGGUGAGGCUCAUCUGGCUGAACAACUAUGAAGCCAUUUAAGUCUGUUUUCCUUCUACUGUGCCCAAAAGGCACAAGGCAACCUGGCCUGAGGUUGGAGCAUGGAGAUCUAGAGGAACUCAUGGAUGGAUUCAGGCGGGAUGUGAAAGUGCUGGGAGUGAGGGCCUGGGCCUCCUCUGGGUUUAGCCACCCUUCCAGGUUGUGUACAACCUGCCAUAUGCUGGGGCUCAUUGACUGUGCUCUGCUCUGUGGCUACAGGAUCCCCUUUUACUGAGCGUAGUGCAUGUGUAUGCUCUGACAAACUCCUCCGUGGUUUGCCUCUGUAGUCCUCCCUACACCCUACCAACUCCCCAGUCCCCGCGAAUAAAAACCCUUGCCUUUUUGGAGGCAAUGUAGCAAAGCAGGACUGCUGCAUUGGAAUAGUUUGGCUCUGGAGAGUUCACUAGAUGUUUGAAAUUCAGUUUCGUCCCUUGUAAAAAUAGGGGAAAUAGACCCCUACCUAGUACCUAGUACCAUAUACAUAUAUUAUCUCAAAAUGGAUCGAAGGCCUAAAUGUAAGAGUGAAAACUAGAAAACUCUUAGAAGAAAACAGCUGUAAAUCUUUGUGACCUUGGAUUAGGUAGUGGUUUCUUAGAUUUUAUGCCAAAAAUAAAAGCAACAAAAUAAAAAAAAUAAAUUGGACAUCUUCAAAAUUAAAAACUUUGGUACUUCAAAGGACACAAAGUAAAAAGAAAAUCCACAGAAUGAGAGAAAAUGUUUGCAAAUCGUAGAUCCAAUAAGGGACUUGUAUCUAGAAUAUAUAAAGAAUGAUUACAGCUCAAUAAUAAGACAAAUAACCCAGUAGAAAAAUGGGCAAAAGAUCUCAAUAUUAAUUUCUCCAAAGAAAAUAUAUAAAUGGCAACUAAGCACAUGAAAAAAUGCUCAACAUCAUAGCCAUCAAGGAAAUACAAGUCAAAAACCACAAUGAGAUACUACUUUGCACCCACUAGGAUGACUAUAGUGAAAAAAAAGAGAUAAUAACAAGUAUUGGUGAGCAUGUGGAGAAGCUGUCGUCAUGAAUUGAUCGUGGGAAUGUAAAAUGAUGCAGCCACUUUGGAAAACAGUCUGGCAGUUCCUCAAAUGGCUAAACAGAGUUCCCAUGCGAUCCAGCCAUUUCACUCCUACAUAUAUUUCCUUUCCCAACAGAAAGGAAAACAUGUCCACACAAAAACAUACAUGAGAGUUUACAGUGGCAUUAUUCAUAAUAGCUCCAAAGUGGAAGCAGCUCAAAUGUCCAUGAAUUGGUGCAUGAAUAAAUAAAACAUGGUCUAUCCAUACAAUGGAUUAUUAUUUAGCCAUAAAAAGGAAUGAAGAACUGAUACAUGCUGUAAUAUGGAUGAACCUUGGAAACAUUAUGCUGGGUAAAAGAAGCCAGCCACAAGAGACCACAGAGUGUGUGGGUCCAUUUAGAUGAAAUGUCCAGAAUAGGCAAAUUCAUAGAGACAGGAAGUAG